GUACAAGAGGGCCUAUAAAUGUGUAAACUAACAACGUGACAGCGUAGACGAAGCUCGGCGGGCCGGCCUGCAGACGACUUGUGUCAGGAGGCUCUUCCUCUGCAGCUCCACAUUGUGUAAUUCUGUCAUGCAGUUGACUUAAUGUACAGCAGCAAAUAGACAUCACUUUGCCUUCUCUUUUUUUUCCCUCUCUCGGUCUGACUAAAUAGUGAGUGAACUUUUGAUAGUGGGGCCUUUGAAUAAUGUGCUGAUCACCGCGGGGCUGUGCAGCUGCGUAUCUCCACAGGGCGGAGCCGCCUCUGAAACACUCUCACCUUUAGUAACCUCGGCCCUUUGGAGCCGUCUCCCAGACAGGACGGUCUGUUCUCUGAGUUCUCGUGAGAUGAGUCCCUGGAGUUACAGAAGAGUCAUGUCCAGGGCUCGGUCAGGAUGGAGGCGGCGGGGGGUGGAGCGGCUCUAUUGUUCACAUUUGUCUCUAUCGGUGCAGCUGAUCCGCGGCCCAGAAAAAAGGAGGAAAAGCCGGCCUGAAACAAUGGCCGGCCCCAGCUCCUAUUUAUAUGUCAAUUCUUGGUUAUAUAUAUAUAUGUGUAUGUUUGCUUAUUUUGGGGCUUUGGCAUCAGUUUGUACAAAUUUGAAACCACGCUACAUUGUGAAAAAACCUCGUGUAUACAAACAAGUACAGCCUGUUCGUUGCCAGCAGGGUAACCGGAUUCCUCGCUGGAGCUCGGUGUAAACUACCAGCUAUCCCACCGAUAUCAUUUCCAUAGUUUAGUAGCUUCAUCUCACCAGAGAUAAAGAGGAAACAAACCACUAGCUCGAGCAUGUCUGAGCACAUGUUGGGAGAAAGGAAGGGAAACACCAUGACGGGGCUGCCAGCCGAACACAGGAAGUGCAAUAAAUUGGUGAUGUAAUGCAUCGUACCAGCUCAGCAGUGUUUUCACGAUAACACCCUCAUGAGCGCCGAGGGUGCACUCACUAGAUACUGCGCACAGCCCCAGCGUUAUAACACAGAUUAAAGUGCACGUUUGACCAGUACGUUCACGUUCAAAUGGGGCAGUAUGUAACAGGGCAGUGACAUCUUGGGUGCAGUCGGGUCGUUCAUUGAAACACUCAUUUGGAAGUGAGAUUUUUUUUCUAUGUGCAUUCACACCAACCAACAUUGAGAAUCCAAUUGUCAUCAAACCUGCUUGUCAACCCAAUAAAGGGAAAUGAGAUGCAUGCUUUGGCUGCAGCUGCAGUGGGGGUCAAGUGUGAACGCAGCAAUGUGGACGAACCAAAUCCACAAUUCUUUACGGGUAAAGAUAAACAGAUGGAUGUGGCGGAGGAGGAGCCCCGAACGAAUACGGAAUGCAUGAGUCACACAACCUCCUUUGUUCGCCAGAGAAAG
ensembl:lncRNA